CUACGGGGGGCUCCAGUGAGGAAUUUUGCGCAAUGGGCGAAAGCCUGACGCAGCAACGCCGCGUGAGUGAUGAAGGCCUUCGGGUCGUAAAGCUCUGUCAAGUGGGAAGAACCUAUGUAAUGUUAAUAUCAUUAUAUACUGACGGUACCACUGAAGGAAGCACCGGCUAACUCCGUGCCAGCAGCCGCGGUAAUACGGGGGGUGGCAGCGUUAUUCGGAAUCAUUGGGCGUAAAGGGCACGUAGGCGGCCUGGUAAGUCAGAUGUGAAAGCCCGGGGCUUAACCCCGGAAGUGCAUUUGAUACUGUCAGGCUUGAGUAUGGGAGAGGGAAGUGGAAUUCCUGGUGUAGAGGUGAAAUUCGUAGAUAUCAGGAGGAACACCGGUGGCGAAGGCGACUUCCUGGACCAAUACUGACGCUGAGGUGCGAAGGCGUGGGUAGCAAACAGGAUUAGAUACCCUCGUAGUC
rnacentral:rRNA from 1 species